UACGUAGGGCGCAAGCGUUGUCCGGAAUUAUUGGGCGUAAAGAGCGCGUAGGCGGUCCGGUAAGUCGGCUGUGAAAACUCGGGGCUCAACCCCGAGCCUGCAGUCGAUACGGGCAGACUAGAGUGCUGUAGGGGAGACUGGAAUUCCUGGUGUAGCGGUGAAAUGCGCAGAUAUCAGGAGGAACACCGGUGGCGAAGGCGGGUCUCUGGGCAGUAACUGACGCUGAGGAGCGAAAGCGUGGGGAGCGAACAGG
rnacentral:rRNA from 1 species